UGAGUCAGCUAGGCAGCCGCUGGGCUUUUAUGCCUAGAGGAAAGUCCGGGCUCCAUAGGGCGGGACGCCUGCUAACGGCAGGGGCGCGUGAGCGUACGGAAAGUGCAGCAGAGAGUAGACCGCCCGAUUAUUUAUUUGCUUGCAAAUGAGUGGUCGGGUAAGGGUGAAACGGUGCGGUAAGAGCGCACCGCGCGGCUGGUAACAGUUCGCGGCUAGGCAAACCCCGUUCGGAGCAAGGCCAAAUAGGAAUCCAUUGGUGUGGCCCGCACUGGAUUCGGGUAGGCCGCUAGAGGUGUCUGGUGACAGGCAUCCCAGAUGAAUGGUUGCCACGGUCAGCAAUGGCCGACAGAACCCGGCUUAUGGCUGGCUCGCUUU
rnacentral:RNase_P_RNA from 1 species